rfam:Salmo salar isolate Sally breed double haploid chromosome ssa11, whole genome shotgun sequence.
AUACAGUGAGGGGAAAAAGUAUUUGAUCCCCUGCUGAUUUUACAAAAUCAGCAGGGGAUCAAAUACUUUUUUCCCUCACUGUAU